rnacentral:rRNA from 1 species
UACGAAGGGGGCGAGCGUUGUUCGGAAUCACUGGGCGUAAAGGGCGCGUAGGCGGCUCUCCAAGUCAGGCGUGAAAGCCCCGGGCUUAACCUGGGAACGGCGCUUGAGACUGGUGAGCUUGAGUUCGGGAGAGGAUGGUGGAAUUCCCAGUGUAGAGGUGAAAUUCGUAGAGAUUGGGAAGAACACCGGUGGCGAAGGCGGCCAUCUGGACCGACACUGACGCUGAGGCGCGACAGCGUGGGGAGCAAACAGG